CCCCGGAACCUUUACUACAGCUUGGCACUGAACAUUGAGCCUACAUGUGUAGGAUAGGUGGGAGGCUUUGAAGUGGUUACGCCAGUAAUCAUGGAGCCAUCCUUGAAAUACCACCCUUGUAUGUUUGAUGUUCUAACGUUGGCCCCUGAAUCGGGGUUGCGGACAGUGCCUGGUGGGUAGUUUGACUGGGGCGGUCUCCUCCCAAAGAGUAACGGAGGAGCACGAAGGUUGGCUAAGUUCGGUCGGACAUCGGAAGGUUAGUGUAAUGGUAGAAGCCAGCUUAACUGCUAGCCAGCCAAGUGGAGCUGAUACGCAAAGAGCUCAUGGUGGUGCGGGUGUGCUGAAUUGACGGGGCGUCG
rnacentral:rRNA from 1 species